AGAUCAGCCCUGGGGUUCAGAGGGAUCCUGACGGCUACUCCUCAAGAUCCUCUCUGUUGUGAUUCAUCCCCCCCAGGCCCUACAGUUUCUCCUUCCUGACUCUUACAUUUCUUUGGAUGGCAUCACUAUUUACCUGUCUCCUCCCAUAGUUAGUUGCCAAGCACUGUGGAUUCUACCCCUCAGGGUCCAGACACCCAUUUUCCUUCCCACUGUUCCCUCCCCAUGGAGAAGCCUGUGGCUGACUGACAGCUCAACUUGGAGAAGGUGUUACCUGGGCCAGGUGGGGAAGGUAGGGUUGUUUGCAGAGCAAAGAAGUGAAGCCACCUCAAGAAAGAACAGUUCAUGUGCAGGUGACCAUGUAGUUCAAGUCAUCAUUAAAUCCAAAGCUGAGCAGCCAUGAUGCUAUUGGUGGAAUUGCCCUUGACCAAGAGAAAUCCAUCUUGAUUGUCUCAAUAAUUGGCUCAAGGGCCAUUGAUGAUGAGGUCCUAAAUUUAAUUCCUAAUAAAACCCCUGAAGUUUUAGAGGCAAAAUGAGAAAGCAUAGCUCACAAAUACCUUGACCAAUGACUUGCCUAUUCAAUGUGAAAAAGAUGAGGGCGAAGACCUUUAUGAUGAUCCAAGUAAUGAACACACUGGAGAAAGUCAAACAGU
rnacentral:antisense_RNA from 1 species